rnacentral:tmRNA from 1 species
GGGGUUGACUGGAUUUGACAGCGUGUAGAGGUGGUAAGUAAGCAUGCAGAGCAAUGAUGGCUAAUCUCUUUAAUCCUUGACAUCGAAAUUUCAAAUGGCGAAAAUUCUUACGCUCUUGCUGCAUAACUGAAGUACAGUAGGUUUGCUUAAUCUUCGUCACAGUGGCGGAGACAAGACAUCACCCGAUUGCCCGGUUCCGAGACGUUUCGAUACGGUGGUGCUCAGAAAUUCGGAAAUAGGAGACAGCACGCUACGGGCUGAAUCCGAAAUUUAGUAGAUAAGCUAUGAGUUGGUGGUCUCGAGCCUGCUCAUAGUCGAAAACCAAGUCAAGACUAAGCAUGUAGAAAGCUUAUUAGUUCCACGUUUGGACGAGGGUUCGAUUCCCUCCAGCUCCACU